GUACCGUGAGGGAAAGGUGAAAAGAACCCCGGGAGGGGAGUGAAAUAGAAUACUGAAACCAUAUGCUUACAAAAAGUCAGAGCCCGUUAAUGGGUGAUGGCGUGCCUUUUGCAGAAUGAACCGGCGAGUUACUGUAUCGUGCAAGGUUAAGUUGAAUAGACGGAGCCGAAGCGAAAGCGAGUCUGAAUAGGGCGAGUUAGUACGAUGUAGUAGACCCGAAACCAAGUGAUCUAGCCAUGAGCAGGUUGAAGUGACAGUAACAUGUCAUGGAGGACCGAACCGAUGUACCCGGAAACGUGCCCGGAUGACUUGUGGCUAGCGGAGAAAUUCCAAUCGAACUUGGAGAUAGCUGGUUCUCCCCGAAAUAGGUUUAGGCCUAGCCUCGAGAUUUAGCGCACUGAAGGUAGAGCACUGAAUAAGUGAUGGCCCCGUAUAGGGGUACUGAACUUAAUCAAACUCCGAAUGUCAGUGUUGUAUGCUCGGGAGUCAGUGUAUGGGUGAUAACGUCCGUACGCAAAAGAAAAAGAAUUCAGACCGCCGAUUAAGGUCCCAAAAUUUCUACUAAGUGGGAAAGGAUGUGGAGUUGUCAAAACAGCUAGGAGGUUGGCUUAGAAGCAGCCACCCUUUAAAGAGUGCGUAAUAGCUCACUAGUCGAGUGACACUGCGCCGAAGAUGUACCGGGGCUAAGUAGAAUACCGAAAUCGCGGAUUUAAUACUAAGUAUUAAGUGGUAGGGGAGCGUUCCAUGCGCGCUGAAGGUAGACCGUGAGGACUACUGGAGUACAUGGAAGUGAGAAUGCCGGUGUGAGUAGCGCAAGGGAGGUGAGAAUCCUCCCCACCGUUUGACUAAGGUUUCCUGGACAAGGUUCGUCCUACCAGGGUAAGUCGGGUACUAAGGCGAGGCCGAAAGGCGUAGUCGAUGUCCAACAGGUUGAUAUUCCUGUACCAGCUAUAUGACUGAUGGAGUGACGGAGAAAGCUAAGAAGGGCCAGUUAUUGGAUUCUGGUAUAAGCACAUAGGUUAGUAUAUAGGCAAAUCCGUAUACAGAUUAACUGAAGUGUUAUGUUGACGGAAAUCCUCGGAUUUCUUAAAUCUUCUGAUGCUAUGCUUCCAAGAAAAGCUUCUAGGGCUAAUUGUAUAGCUGCCCGUACCGAGAACCGACACAGGUGGUCAAGGAGAGUAUCCUAAGGUGAGCGAGAGAACUAUGGUUAAGGAACUCGGCAAAAUUACCCCGUAACUUAGGGAGAAGGGGUGGUCUAGCGAUAGACCCGCAGUAAAGAGUCCCAGGCAACUGUUUACCAAAAACACAGGUCUCUGCUAAGCCGUAAGGCGAUGUAUAGGGGCUGACGCCUGCCCAGUGCUGGAAGGUUAAGAGGAUGGAUUAGCUGACGUAAGUCGAUUGCAAAGUCUUGAAUUGAAGCCCCAGUGAACGGCGGCCGUAACUAUAACGGUCCUAAGGUAGCGAAAUUCCUUGUCAGGUAAGUU
rnacentral:rRNA from 1 species